AUUCCAGCUCCAAUAGCGUAUAUUAAAGUUGUUGCAGUUAAAAAGCUCGUAGUUGGAUUUCUGGCGAGGCUUGGUCGGUCGGCGCUUAGCGUGUGAACCGUGUCGAGCCUUGCCAUCCUGAGGAAGAACCUUGUUGGCAUUAAGUUGUCGACUUGGGUACUCCUCUCGUUUACUGUGAAAAAAUUAGAGUGUUCAAAGCAGGCUUAUGCCGUUGAAUAGUCCAGCAUGGAAUAAUAAGAUAGGACCUCGGUGCUAUUUUGUUGGUUUGCGCACCAAGGUAAUGAUUAAUAGGGACAGUUGGGGGUAUUCGUAUUCUGCAGUCAGAGGUGAAAUUCUUGGAUUUACGGACGACGAACUACUGCGAAAGCAUUUACCAAGGAUGUUUUCAUUA
rnacentral:rRNA from 1 species